rnacentral:rRNA from 1 species
UUGAACGCUGGCGGCAUGCUUUACACAUGCAAGUCGAACGGUAACAGGUCUUCGGAUGCUGACGAGUGGCGAACGGGUGAGUAUGCAUCGGAACGUGCCCAGUCGUGGGGGAUAACGCAGCGAAAGCUGUGCUAAUACCGCAUACGAUCUAUGGAUGAAAGCGGGGGACCUUAGGGCCUCGCGCGAUUGGAGCGGCCGAUGUCAGAUUAGCUAGUUGGUGGGGUAAAGGCCCACCAAGGCGACGAUCUGUAGCUGGUCUGAGAGGACGACCAGCCACACUGGGACUGAGACACGGCCCAGACUCCUACGGGAGGCAGCAGUGGGGAAUUUUGGACAAUGGGCGCAAGCCUGAUCCAGCAAUGCCGCGUGCAGGAAGAAGGCCUUCGGGUUGUAAACUGCUUUUGUACGGAACGAAAAGGCUCUGGUUAAUACCUGGGGCUCAUGACGGUACCGUAAGAAUAAGCACCGGCUAACUACGUG